rnacentral:lncRNA from 1 species
AAGGUCUGGAACGUUCUCCUUCAGAGCGCCACUCUUGACGUACUUCUCGGUUCCGAAGGACUGCAGGCCGACGUCGUUCUUGCUGAGUAUGAAUUUCGCAGGCACUGUGAUUUUCGAUCCACUCCAAGGUGCAGUCAGUCUCCAGUUUCUGCAAAUUAAGGCCACAUUACACAGUAACAGAGGGGUAUCGGUAUCUGUAUCAGUGCGAGAGGGAGGGCAGACGGUGUGGAAAUUACGUUUCAAGCAUGCGGUAGUAGUUGAGGGGUCCUGUGAAGCCAGUCUUCUCGAACUUCUCGGCGUACCGUCCCAGUUCUUCGUCUGUCAUCCAGGGAAUCGGCGAAGAAGGUGCCUGGAGAAAGUCUAUGAUCUCCACUCCAGGAGGAGCAAUCAUCUCGUCGAUUUUCAAGGCGUAGAACUUCUUUAGGACCGUCGCAACAUCGUAGCGAGCAAAUGCCCUCUCGGCUCUUCCUGGCUCCUG